UACGUAGGGUGCGAGCGUUAAUCGGAAUUACUGGGCGUAAAGCGUGCGCAGGCGGUCUGUUAAGACCGAUGUGAAAUCCCCGGGCUUAACCUGGGAACUGCAUUGGUGACUGCACGGCUAGAGUGUGUCAGAGGGGGGUAGAAUUCCACGUGUAGCAGUGAAAUGCGUAGAGAUGUGGAGGAAUACCGAUGGCGAAGGCAGCCCCCUGGGAUAACACUGACGCUCAUGCACGAAAGCGUGGGGAGCAAACAGG
rnacentral:rRNA from 1 species